rnacentral:rRNA from 2 species
AAAAGAACUCUGAAGAGAGGGUGCAAAGCGCGUGAAACCGCCAAGGGGUAAACUGGCUGAGCCGAGCGACGUGUCCCGCCGAGGCGGCUAGUCGCCCGCGGUCUCGACUCGUGCGGUCUUCCUCGGCAACGGGGGUAGGCUCCGGGCGCGGGACGGGGCGCGUGCCCUCCCUCGACGUGUCUCCGCCGUCACCGGCACCGGGCUGUCUCGUCCGCGCGUCUUCCUCGGGGUCGUCGGCCUCGGGGGUUCCGGGCGCGAUUCGGCACGAGAGCAGUCGUCGGGUGCCGUGGCCGACCGCGGGGCGCCGGUGGUGGUUCGUGUCGGCGGGUUAUGUUUUUUAAACGUAGCCCGUCGCCGCGGGCCGCCCCUGCCCCGCCGAAAGGUGUACGGCGUCAAAUCCGGUAGCUGCCCGACCCGUCUUGAAACACGGACCAAGGAGUCCGACGCUCGUGCGAGCCGCAGGGUUUCCACGAAACCCCACGGCGAAGUGAAAGCGAGAAGCCCCUCGGGGCCGAGGGCGAGAUCUCUCCCCUCCCUUCGCGGGGAGGGGGAGCGCAUCGCCGGCCCGACAGCCGCCGCGUCGACGGCCCUGCCGGAGCAUGAGUGCGAGCGUCGGGACCCGAUAGGUGGUGAUCUACGCCUGAGCAGAGCGAAGCCGGGGGAAACUCUGGUGGAGGCUCGAAGCGACUCUGACGUGCAAAUCGACCGCCCGACUUGGGCGUAGGGGCGAAAGACCAAUCGAACCACCUAGUAGCUGGUUCCCUCCGAAGUUUCCCUCAGGAUAGCCGGUGCCGUCGUAACGAUUUUCACUCGGUAAAGCGAAUGGUUGGAGGCAUCGGGGGCGAAACGCCCUCGUCCUACUCUCAAACUUUCAACGGGUGAGGCUCCAGACCCGCCUCAGCACGGGGACUGGCCUCGAAUCACGGGUGCCGAGUGGGCCAUUUUUGGUAAGCAGAACUGGCGCUGCGGGAUGAACCGAACGCCCGGUUGUGGUGCCCAACGCAGGACGCUCACGGGAAAGCUAAAAGGUGUGGGUCGGUACUGACAGCAGGGCG